GGGGGGGGGGAAAGGAGUGACGCUGCCGUGUCGGUGCCUAUGGAGUUGUAGUCGGUCGCCGGGAUUUCGUCUGGAUGUGGCGUCAGGCUCGGCGCAGCUGCCGCUCAGGCGUGAAAUGCCGCUGGGGGAAUGAGGGGAGUAAAAAGGGCUCCCGCCCCGGGGAUUGUGCUUCUGCCAUCCUGUGAGCGCGGGCGGGAGGCUGCUGGCUUGAAGCCUGAGGGCUGAAAUACAGUGAAAGAAGAGUUGUUUAAGAAAAUAUUCUGGAAGAUGGAGCACAGAAGUUCAGCAGAUCUAAUACUCUAGAGAUGUCCUGGG